rnacentral:lncRNA from 12 species
ACGCGCUGCCACUGUAUCCUCAACGGAGAAAGGAGUCUGAUGCAUCUGAUGAUUCGGCGAGCUCAGAUCACUGGAUGCUGACACAGACUGAUCGUGCUGAAGAAGAGGAAUCCCAGCAGGACUGCCCUGAACAACCUGAACAGAAGACCGCCAAUGGAGUUUGUUCAUCUUUGAGUCCAUCCCUUCAAGAGCGGAUAGUACAUAAGAACUCACCAGUAGAGGUUCAGGAAGGUACUGUAGUGUCCCGUUUCUAUUUCUGAUUACAGAGGAUUUGAUACAGAAGUGAAACAGUCUCCUAUUCUGUUUUAGUGCUGUUGUCUAAUAUCAUGGGGCAGCUGGAGAUUGUGAGUAAUUCAAACGUCUCUUUACCUCAACGGACUCUCUCAUACCUGCUCUUAUUGUUCACACUGCCAAUCUGGAGUGCCACAACCUUAUGGGACAGGUAUCAUAAAUGGAUCACUAAUGCUAUGAAUGUAGCAUAUUGGCUUUGGCAUGGUGUUAAGCUUUUCAUGAUCUUCAUACUCAAAAUUGUACUGUCCUCAAUGAGGAAAGCCCUUGGAGACAUAAUGCUGAGUCUGAUCAGUUACAUACCUGCACAAGUUCACGAUGAGCAGCAUAGACGCAGAGAGCUGGCUGAGAGACACAUGGCCUCCUCUAAUCUGAACGGUCACGUCUCUGCUGCUUUCCCGUCGAGUCCCUCCAUGGCACAGACCCUCCCAAACCUCUACACACUCCUGAUUUCACUAGAGACAGCAGAGAGCAAGUGGAGAAGACGCAAGAUAGAGGUGCAACACACUUUACAGCAACACGUGACUGAUGUGAAAAGAAAUUAAAAACAUGCAAGCAAUGUGGGAUGGUUAAUGUUACUCAUCACAGAGUUGAUAAAUUGUUUUGUGCUGCUUCAGAUGGAAAAGUUUAAUUGUUUUUUAAAACUAAAUACUAAAUGCAUAUACUAACAUACAACUAGCAAUUGUAGAGGAUAUACAUAUAAAAGAAAAAAAAAAAAGGAUUUUACUAAAUGUCUAAGGUAACAUUGAAAUAUUAUUAUUUUAUAUUAUGAUUAUAAAUAUUUUUAAACAUUUACAUUCACCAAGUUUUAUAACAGUGCUACUACAUUCUAUUAUUUUUAUCAACAGUAGUAGAAGUAAGAAAAAUACAGAUCUGCAUAUAGUUUUGUGGAAAAAAUGAAAAUGCAUUAAUAAAUAUUAAUCUCAUUUAUGCUGUCAACUUUUCCAGUUUUAAUCAUUUUAACAUAAAGGAUUAAACAAAUAAAAUAGCCACUUGUUUAAUUGUGUUUUUCCUUAAUAUUCUUCUUACACGCUUAAAAUGGGUUUUUAUACAUGAAAAUAUACAGCUGCCUGGCCACCAAAAGGUAUGAAAACCGGUGUCCUGGAAAAUUUGUUUAUGUUUUAUUAUUUGUUUUUAUUGUUUAUCUUAAAAUUAUAUAUAUCAUUUAUAUGCUAAUAUAGCAACCAACCAACAAAAGAGCAAUAAUAUGUAAGGGCUGUGACAAGUCUCGGCAAGUAUAAAGCAGUACUUGUAGCAAGUUUUUUUUUUUUUUUUUUUUAAGAGGGUCAUUUUUUAUAAUAAAAAGAAAACAAGUAGUUGGAAUAGAAAUAAAAUAGCAAGAUUUUGAAUCAGUUCAGAAUAUAUAGGACACCUGUGUGUGUGUUGUAUGGCCACAGCUGACUAUUAAAGAGGUGGUUAGAUCACAGGACCUGGUUAGAUCAAGCUCUGACUUCAAACUCCAGGAAUCACUUGAGAUCGAUUAGCAAUGGUGCUCAAUGCACAAUGUGUUUAUACAGGAUGCACUGAAAUGUCAAGGGUGGCUAAUACAGUUCCAGACACCACUUCUGCCAUUCACUAACAAAUGCUGCCAUUAUGUCAUAGGAACCAUUUAUAAAGACAUUAUCUUUCCAAAUGAUACCAAAUGUGAUUUUACUAAACGAUUUUAACACAAUGCCACAAAACAGAGCAUAUCAAAAUGGGGCCUCAAACAUGCAGUCUUAUGAUGCAUCAUCUACAUCAGAACAAACAUCUACUGGUCCUACAACAGAUGCCACCUCCUCAGUUAAAAAGCAUGACAAAUUACAUUUUAUAAACGCCAUAAUAUGCAAGGAGAUGCUCAACCUGAUCUAGCCAAAUAAGACAUAAUAGUUGUGAUUCAAAUCUUACAUUUUAUACCAAAGUGUAAUGUUCUUCAGUGUAGACUAUGGUUCAGAAGUUUGUUCCUGGUUUUGUGUAGCACCUACUACUCUGCAUAUCCUUCUGCUAAUGAGUGCAUGAAGCUUAUUUUAAACAUUGGCUCUCAUCAAUAACUAUGACAAUUGUGAAAUCUGCAGAUGAAUGUUUCCACAAACACGUCAUGAUCCACCAAUAGCUUUCAUUCUAAAAUCUUUUACAUUUACGAAAAAAUGUAGGAACUGAACUAAAGAGCUGAACUGAAACCGCAUGUACACAAAAAUCACAUACUCUGGGUGGCCUUAUAUAUGUGUUAAGAUGAUUUUUUAUGCAUACAUAUUUUUAAUUGGUUAAAUAGAUUUCACCAAAUACAGUGAAAGUGUCAAAAAAGCUGCAUUACUGCUUGAGUUGCAAUGUUCCUCUGCAUAAAAAUGCAGAUAUGCGCAUGUACACCUAGCUAAUAUCCUUUCUUCUUCGUGACAAGUGUGUGUGAGAAAUGGAAGUGCUGUGGUGUGUGUUCUGGGGUAUUUCUGCUUUUCUGUAACCACUGCCUACUGCCUGGGAGUGAAUGUGCAUUUUCACUCUGCCCGUCUGCCAUUUUUACACAUUGGGCUGAACAGACAAAUCACAUGAGGAAAUUAGCGUUUUUGUUUCCUAAUUGUUAAUGUAUCAUUGGACCAAACAACUGUGUAUGUGAAUCAUUUCUUGUUUGUAGUGAGUGUGGACUCCUGUAAUACAUACUUUGAGAAGGUGUCAGAAGAAUUGGAGUUGAUUGUGAAGGAGAUUCAGUUCAGUCCAAAAGAAGAUUCUGCUCCGCUAAAAUAUAUAUUUAAUGAAAAUAUAUAUAAAAUAUAAUGGUUUUUUUUUUUAUUUAAUUUUCUCCUUAGGUUCACUUAUAAUGUUAGUACUCGUCAGAUUUUCCACCCUCUCUUUAGAAUUAAAUGGGCCAUAUUUGUUCAUAUGUGAAAUAAGCAAUUGAGAGGUUAGUUGUUAGAAAACAACAAUUAGCACACCACAUGUAGCGCAUGAUGUAAGACUCUCCACAUGAUGGAGCUGUUCAUUCAAAUUUAAUUUUCCCUACAUAGAAGAGGCUCCAAUGGUUUCCUCUACUGUUGCCUGACAGCCAUAAUUGCAUCUUUGUUUACCUGUAUUGGAUUAUUGAGAGAGUUCAUUUUUCUUUGAGCAUUGAUAGUAAAUCUAAGAGGUGUUUUUUUUUUUUUUCUUCAAUCUUCUGAAUGAAAAGAAACUAAUUUGCAUUGCAGAAAAGAUGUAGGUUAUGUUAGGCUACAUACCGCACAUUAAUACUUACGGUUAUGGUUUUGUUUAAAUAGUGGAUUCAUUGUAUUCAUGUUAUCACAUGACUUUCCACAUGUUUUCAUUAAAGCUUCUCUAAUUGUUCUCUACAGCAUGCCUUAUAUUAAAUAUCUGGUUAUUUAAUUCUCUUUAAACAAACAAGUCCAUCAUCACAGGUUCUUCAGGCUCUUGAAGUGUCCAUGAACUCAGUAUCACAGUGUCUGCUUUAAAAUCCACUCUAAAACUAAUUGGAAAUAAUCAAUGAAAUAUUU